rnacentral:rRNA from 1 species
UACGGGGGGGGUAAGCGUUGUCCGGAAUUAUUGGGCGUAAAGAGCGUGUAGGCGGUUUGUCGCGUCGGGGAGUGAAAACUCAGGGCUUAACCCUGAGCCUGCUUCCGAUACGGGCAGACUAGAGGUAUGCAGGGGAGAAUGGAAUUCCUGGUGUAGCGGUGAAAUGCGCAGAUAUCAGGAGGAACACCGAUGGCGAAGGCAGGUCUCUGGGCCGAUACUGACGCUGAGGAGCGAAAGCGUGGGGAGCGAACAGG